rnacentral:lncRNA from 1 species
UCCUAUGACUACAUAGAGCUUUCUAAUUCUUUUUCAUCACCCCACUCUAUUCCAUUUUAUCAAUGUAUCAUAAUUUAACCUAUUUAUGAACUUUUUUUCCUGAUUAUUUGCAUUUACAACAAUAUUAAAAUGGGUAAUGUUAUACAGAUCUUAUUUUUCAUUAGUGCAUGCAUACCCACAGGGUAAAUUCCCAGUAGUGGUAUUGUUGAUCAAGGACAUAUGCUAUUGUAAUAUUGAUAAAUAUUUCCCUCCUAAGGAGUUCUGCUGAUUUAUAGCCUCAAAAUAAAUAAAAGAGUGUUGGGCUGGGUGCUGGAACUCAUGUCUAUGAUCCCAGCACUUUGGCAGGAGGAUUGCUUCAGCCCAGGAGUUUGAGACCAGACUGGGCAACACAGCAAAUUUUUAAAUAAUUUUAAAAAAUUAGCUAGACAUGGGGGUACAGACCUGGGAUUCCAGUUCUUUGGAAGGCUGAGGUGGGAGGAGCCCUUAAACCCAGGAAUUUGAGGCUUCAAUGAGCUAUGAUCACUGGAGUGCCACUGCACUCCAGCCUGGUUGACAGAGGGCUACCAGAUCUAAAAAAAAAAAAAAAAAAAGGGUCUAUUUGCCCACAGCCUUGCCAAUAGAGUGCAUUGUCAAACUUUUACAUUUCCACAAAUCUGAUAGCUGACAAAUGAUAUCUUAAUUUUCAGUUUUUUAAGUUUAAUUUUAAAAAAUGUUGAAGCUACCUCAAACGUAUCCAAAAGUUGCAAGUAUAAAGAAUAUUUUCCCCAUGGAACUAUUUAAGAGUAAGUUGCCAACAUAAUAUCCUUGUACACCAGAAUAUAUAACCCUAGGUUAUAUAUGUUAUAAACAAGUACAUUCUCCUACAUAUUCAAACUACAGUCUUCCCUUGGUAUCUGUGGGGAUUGGUUCCAGGAUCCCCCCUUCAGAUGCUCAAGUCCCUUAUAUAAAAUAGUGUCAUGUUUGCAUAAAACCUGUGGACAUCCUCCUGUAUACUUUAAAUCAGAGGUGUCCAAUCUUUUGGCUUCCCUGGGCUGCAUUGGAAGAAUUGUCUUGGGCCACACACAAAAUACGCUAACACUAAUGAUAGCUGAUGAGCUAAAAAAUAAUUGCAAAAAAAACUCAUAAUAUUUUAAGAAAGUUUACAAAUUUGUGUUGGGCUGCAUUCAAGGCCAUCCUGGGCUACAUGUGGCCCAUAGGCUGUGAGUUGGACAAGCUUGCUUUAAACCAUCUCUAGAUUACUUAUGAUAUAUAAUACAAUGUAAAUGCUAUGUAAAUAGUUGUUAUACUGUAUUGUUUUUAUAUUAUUUUCAUUUUUUAAUUCAAAUAUUUUUCAAUCCACAGUUGGUUAAUUCUACAGAUGUGGAACUUGUAGAUAUGGAGGGUCAACUGUGAAACCAUCAAUAUCAGGACAUUAGCUUUGAUAUGUUACUGACAUCAAAUGGAGUUAGACUCCAUUCACAGUUUGCCUGUUGUCCCUAAUAUGUCCUUUAUAGCAAAAGUAUCCAGUCCAGAAUCAUGUGUUGUGCUUAGCUUCUGCCCUACCUCUUCAGUCUCCUUUAAUCUGAAACAGUUCCUUCUGCUUUCCUUCAUUUUUAUGACCUUGGUACAUUUAAAGAUGAUAAACCAGACAUUUGUAAAAUGUCCCUUAAUUUGGGUUUACCUGACAUUUCCUUGAACUCAAUUCAGAUUGCACAUCUUUGGCAAAAAUAUGACAGAAAAGAUGCCUUGUUCUUCUUGCAACCUAUCAGGUGGUUCAUGAUUUUGUUUUAUCCCAUUACUGAUGAUGUUCACUCUGAUCAUUUGACUAGGGUGGUGAGUGCCAGGAUUCUCCACUCUAACUUAGCCUUUUUUUCCUUUGUAAUUAUUAAGUGUUUGUGGUAGGGUACUUUGAAGUUAUGUAAUACAUACUUUGGCAUUAAAAAUUCAGUUGAUAAAUUGGUUCUUUUGGUUACAUCACCAUGUACUAAUAGGUUUCUAUAAUAAUCAAUAGUCAUAAUCCAUUCCUAUCAUUGUUUGUCUUGAUGUUCGAACUGUCCCAGAUUUGUUUGGUGGGAGCUCCUUCAAGCUGGCUCCUGCACAGCUUUUGACUUAUCGCUAUCAUUCUGUCAGAACUUCCUUGCUUUCUUGUCUAAAGAGAUAUUCUAGGCUCAUCUUAUACUUGUCCUACUCUGGACAUGGAAUCAGCCAUUUCUUCAAGGAACCUUUUAAUGGAGAAUGAUAUUUAGAAGCCCGAGUGU